ACUCAAAGGAAUAGACGGGGACCCGCACAAGCAGCGGAGCAUGUGGUUUAAUUCGAAGCAACGCGAAAAACCUUACCAGGGCUUGACAUCCCUCUGACAGGUUUUAGAGAUAAGACUGUUACCCUUUGGGUACAGAGGAGACAGGUGGUGCAUGGUUGUCGUCAGCUCGUGUCGUGAGAUGUUGGGUUAAGUCCCGUAACGAGCGCAACCCCUGUCCUUAGUUGCCAGCAUUUAAGGUGGGCACUCUAAGGAGACCGCCGGGGAUAACUCGGAGGAAGGUGGGGAUGACGUCAAAUCAUCAUGCCCCUUAUGUCCUGGGCUACACACGUGCUACAAUGGUCUGAACAGAGGGCAGCUAAAGCGCAAGCUGGAGCAAAUCCCAGAAAUCAGAUCUCAGUUCGGAUUGUGGGCUGAAACUCGCCCACAUGAAGUCGGAGUUGCUAGUAAUCGCGAAUCAGCAUGUCGCGGUGAAUACGUUCCCGGGUCUUGUACACACCGCCCGU
rnacentral:rRNA from 1 species